rnacentral:rRNA from 1 species
CGGAUACUAAAACUAGGGGAUAGAUACCCUACUAUGCUCAGCCGUCAACACAGGCAGCCAUCAUAACCCGCUGCCCGCCAGAGGAGUACAAGUGAAAAACUAGAAACUCAAAGGACUUGGCGGUACCCCACACCGACCUAGAGGAGCCUGUCCCCUAAUCGAUACUCCACGCUAAACCUAACCGGCCCUCGACAACCAGCCUAUAUACCGCCGUCGCCAGCCUGCCUAAUGAUAGCCAUACAGCAGGCCCAAUAGCCCAAGCUAGCACGUCAGGUCAAGGUGUAGCUAAUGGGCCGGGUGAAGAUGGGCUACAUUUUCUAUAACACAAGAAAACCUACCACAUGCUCACUGAAACACGAGACCCAAGGCGGAUUUAGCAGUAAACUAGGCAAGUUGAGCCUGAUUGAAACCUGCUCUGGGGUAUGUACACACCGCCGGUUCCACCCUA